rnacentral:rRNA from 1 species
GGAUUAGAUACCCUGGUAGUCCACACCGUAAACGAUGUCUAUUAGCUGUGUGUGUAUUUAAUACGUGCGUAGCGCAGCCAACGCGAUAAAUAGACCGCCUGGGGAGUACGGCCGCAAGGUUAAAACUCAAAUGAAUUGACGGGGGCCCGCACAAGCGGUGGAGCAUGUGGUUUAAUUCGAUGCAACGCGAAGAACCUUACCUACACUUGACAUUCAGAGAACUUACCAGAGAUGGUUUGGUGCCUUCGGGAGCUCUGGGACAGGUGCUGCAUGGCUGUCGUCAGCUCGUGCCG